rnacentral:misc_RNA from 1 species
GAUGAAGAACGUAGCAAAAUGCGAUACUUGGUGUGAAUUGCAGAAUCCCGUGAACCAUCGAGUUUUUGAACGCAAGUUGCGCCCGAAACCAUCCGGUUGAGGGCACGCCUGCCUGGGUGUCACGCAUCGCGUCGUCCCCCAACAUACUCCCCCAUACUGGGUUGUCAUGUUGAUUGGGGACGGAGAUUGGCCUCCUGUGCUUCUGGUGCGGUUGGCCUAAAUAGGAGGCCCCUUCGGUGGAUACACGGCUAGUGGUGGUUGUUAAGACCCUCGUAUUGUGCUGUGUGUUGUGAGCUGUUAGGGAAACCCUCACCAAAGACCCUAUUGUAUCGUCUUGGUACGAUGCUUCGACCGCGACCCCAGGUCAGGCGGGACUACCCGCUGAGUUUAAGCAUAUCAAUAAGCGGAGGA